rnacentral:lncRNA from 1 species
UCCUCUACGUAAUUCGAAAAAACCAGCAAAAAAGCAUACUCGUGACUAAAAACACGUACAAAAGUGUACGCGCGAACACCCGCGCGCGAAACACUUCAAGGAUGAUGGCACGUGGGUGUGCCCAGUUUGUCUGUACCACGGCAUGUUCUUGAAAGAUGAGAUGAAAGAGGCGUGGACGAUAGUGGAAAAUGCUUCAAUAUCAUGAUAUUACAGCCCGUCCAGGCGUUGUGGCACGAUGAAGCGAAUUCUUAAAGAGCUGAUCCUCGACGCGAAACACUACUCCUUCCUCGAAUGAGAUCGCGACGAUUUUUUUUUGCAUCAUCUUGUUCCAGGCAUCAAGGUUGAACUUCCUAUGGUGGGGGAUUUCGCGUUCAUGCUCUCUGCCGCGAGAAGGGUACGCGGUCGUCACGAAUCGCGAUUCUUGGCAAGAUCUGCGCUUUCUUCGCGACGCGCGCGAAAUUCGAAAAACCGCCACCAUAGGGUUGUGCGCAUGCCUUAGAAGUGUCAUCGUGCAAAGCUUCGCGCGCAGACGUGCAUCGCGCGCGGAGGAGUAGUGUUUCGCGCGCGGGUGCUCGCGCGUACCCUUGUGUACGUGUUUUUUGUCACGAGUACGUUUUUUGCUGGUUUUUUUCGAAUUACGUACCUGUAUCCUACCUUCGUACGAAAGUUAUAUUACGCAUACAAAUUGCAAAAACGUACGAAAGUACGAAAGAAGGUACAGAGGACUACUGCACUGUACACUAGGGCUACACGUACUCGUACCUUAACAUCGCAGAAGCGGUCAGACGGUCAGUUUCAACACAACCCGAAUUCUCUUUCACGACAGAGUUAAUUGGAGCCUCGGAAACUAGCGGCGAAACUCUGCAUAUCCAAGGAAAAGUAUUUUAAGUGUCGGGAAGCAAGGAUGAACGGAAUUCGGUCAUCUUCAACUCGGCCUAUUCAAAAGCAACGGAAAGAACUUAAUCUCGACUUCUGGGUUCAAGACAUUGCCUCGCCCGCUUUUGUAUCACAAAGAGCUGGUGCCACUGUCACCAUUGAUGACUUCGGAAGGCUGCAGAUAGGUGACAAAAUCCCUCGUCUUACCUCCCCAAGGUCAGUCGAAGCUUGCCUAGAGUUGGGCGUGGACCCUGUUCAAUUGAAGCCAGUUUGCAUGGAGGAUUACCGCGAAUCAAACGUUGACUCGAAGAUCUGGAUGCUUAAAUAUCAACACGCGCAAAAUCGCCGCGAAAAUCUGCUACAGAGCCUGAGCAUACUGAGGUCACGUAUCCCGGAGACCAAUGUAGUCAACCACUUUCAUGAAAGGCAGGGUGUUAUUUCGAGCCUAGAUGUACUUGCAGCGGCAGAAAGCACAGCUGUUCGACAAGCGACUGCUCGUUUGCUGCGACAUCAGGAUAGACAACGCAGGCUUAACAACGUGCGCUUGGAGGAGCUUAAGAAGAGUAUGCACUCCCGGAAGUUGCUAGAGACAAAAUUACACAGAGAAAACUCGAACUUUCAAAGUAGGGAGGCUGACAUGAAGGAAAAAGAGAAGUAUCGUAUUGACAACAUGUACAAAAUGUCGAUGGAGGAAGCAAGGGCACAGCGAAAUGCUGAGCUUGAACGCCGUCGCUUGAUGUCUGAAACUUUCAAACAGCAGAAAGCAGAGCGAGAAGCAAGAGAACGUCAGGAUAAGCUUACGAAGCUGGAGGCCAAGGAAGCAGCUGUUCGGCAGGCAAAAAAAGUGGCAGACUGGAAGGAGCGCACCCGUGCGAUCGUCAAGCAGCAAGAUGCACGCAUCCGUACGAAAAAAAAUGAACUGCUAGCCGACGAGCGUCGUCGAGAGCAGUUAGCUUCGCAGCGCGAGGAGAACCGCAGGUCGACACUGGAAGCCACAGCAACUGAGUUUCAGUACAGACUCGGCCGAGCGAAAGCUUGUGCGGAGGUUCAUAACCAUGAAAGAUUGAUAGAGCUCCAUGAACGAGAGAAGAAGCAGAACGCUCGAAUGCAGCAGUUGAACGAGUACCGGCACUGUGAGAUAAAGUUAGAGAAGAUGCGGAACCAGGAGAGGGAAGGCGUGAGGCGUCGAAUAAAAGAAGAGGCUCAAAGGAUACAGUCAAACCGUGUUGCACGAUUUUUGGCUGAGUCAGAUAUUGCAGAUCGCAAAGCCAAGGAAGUCACGGCAGCAAAUGCGUUUCAUCGGCAAAUGACCCUUACAGAGCGCAAUUUAUCGUUUGAUGACCGCAGACUGCGCACCGAGAUGAAUAAGAAACAGGAGGCAUUACAUCGAUUUAAAUUGAAGCAAAAAAUCGAUAGAGACAGUGCCAAGGCCGAGUACAUCAAAGAGAUGAAAGACAGAGUUAGGCGGCGGGCGGUCCAGACCAACAUAGACGCAGCACUCACUCGAAGAGAACAGAAAGAAGAAGCAGAAAAGUUCUUACACGCGUCAUAUCGUUCUCAGGCUACACCCUCAUUUAUUUCAAGAUCGAAUUCGAUUUAUGGACAGAGAAUUUUAUGAGGUGAGAUGUGAACCCGCAGAGUGUAUCUCACAAAGUAGAUGCAUAUAAGUCGCGUUGACUCGACAGAACCGCGAACCUGGAUGUCUGGGUGAAACAGGAAAUUGGAUCAACGACGGACACUGUUUCUUUCUUCAUGGAGGCAAGGUCCAUCUAUGAUUGGGCAGCUUCUCGUGCCUUCAGCAUCGUAUGGAAAUAUGUGAAGGACAAUAGAAUUAGACUAGCUUGCUCGGCCACACUUUACCUCUGACAAUAUUUACUGUUCAGCAAAGAAAUUUAAUGAUGUAAUAUUAGUCUACGUGUAAGUUACGCGCACAUAAGGUUACUAGUAUUAGGUUACUCAUAUUUCUUCUUUAAGUUUAAAUACACUUUCAAACUACGUGUAAUUGUACGGAAGUACUUACUACAACGUAGAAGUACUCAGCUACAAUAUAUUAUAAAGGCCUACAGGUGAUAAAUUACCGGCAACAUGCACCCCGUGCACGUGUUGCCACACAAUUCACGAAGUCCAGGAGCGGAAGAGCUGCUCUUUCCUCUGAUCGAACAGCUGAAAGAACUGUGUUCAGUGGAUCAAUCAGCGACUUCGCGUCUUUCGUGGCAAGUUUUGGGAUGAAUGGUUUGAGUCCCAAGGACAGAAAAGAAAGUCGCAUUGGGUUUGGUGCUGCCGUCGGGACAACAAAAUUGAGCCCCUCUUCGACAACACAUCGAACUGCCACUCUAUCACGCUGACUACCCACCAUGAAUAAUCCUGCGAGGCGCUCAGCAAACUCAACAAAUGCUUCCUCGAGAUCAACUGCAACUUCCUGAUCUCCUACAACUAUUUCUUCGAAAGCAGAUGCUAGGGAUAUGGUGACUGUACUCCCGGCUGCGUGUGGUCCUAGGUGACGGAGAUCGAUGAAGAUCGCGGCAAUGGCAUGAUCAGUCCAAUGCCCAGCAUGACCAUAGUUUGCUAAGAGCUCAGCUGCGACAAAUCCAUGGGUUGUCUUUGCGAUAUCGUACAUGGCAAGCCCAUAUGCAAGUCUGGAAAUCUCACCAUCCGCGCAAUAGUCUUCAGCAUCUACUCCUUGAACACUACCUUCUGCAGGAAUAUCGAGAAGACGAUUACAGGUAUCCCAUAUUGUUCGCAAGGUAGAUUCAGAGAAGCGAAGUUCGAGUGUUUCGAGAACUUCUAUUGCUAUUCCAGCUCGCCUAAGACCUGUGUCAAAUACAACGUGAGAAGCUUGGCAGCAAAUAAUAAGAUUCGUCACAGCAGAUAUGACCGCCUUGGCCAAAAUACGGCUCCCAGAAUAUAAUCCAUCAGAAAGUUUGGCGAGAGCUAUAGCGUUAAAGAUGAAGUCGUCUCGGAUCGAAACGUGUGCCGCUAUUGCUGAAAUAGACAAAUCUUUCUUGUGAAGAAGCGAUAGAAUGUCAUGCCUCAAGGCGAGCGAUAAAGCACGAAGUGCAAGAGCUACUGCAUGCACGCUGACGCGCGAACUGCCGUGCGCGGCACUGGUAAUAAAUGAAGUAAGGUCACAAAAGAAGUUAAAUUUCUUGAGCGGGUUUUGAGCUAUUGCAGGUGGCGGUAAAAGCGAUAGAAAUGCAUUCAGUCGUGCCAAGUCCCCAUGAAGUUGGAAAUAUAUCUCCCUGUUCUGUAAUGUUGAAUGCGCAUAGGAUGUUUUUCCUGAAUCGCAAAUAAGGUCAAUGUUUCCUUCGUGAGCAUGCGAAGUAUUGCAGCCAUUCCUUUCCUUCAUAGCAGUAAAAACAUGAUGCAACCGUUCUGAAAUUUUGUGGAAAGAAUUUUCACAGAAUUUUCUGCUGAUUUCGUUGAGUGCUCCGUGACUAUUCGUUAUAGCGUGGAAUGUGAAUUCUACGCAUGCAUCAAUUAUUCGCCUGCUCGAGUGUUGAAAAAAUAAGCUGCCAAUGCAAUUUAGAAUUUCUUCGAAGUCAUUUUCUCUGUGCAUCAGCAAAAAAUGCUCAAGCUUAACGUGUCUCAAUGUUUCGAUUAGUGGUCCAAUUACAGCCGCGUCUGAACUCCACCUACAAAGUAAGGAAGGGAUCGAGUUCAUCGCAGCUUUUGUAAACGUCUCCUGAGCAUAUUCUUUUUCUUUUCGCUGGGCUUUUAUCGAAAGACGUUGAGUUGCUCGUCCACCGGUCAUACCACGGGCGUCUAUUCGCCUCAAAAGUUGUUCUCCACAUGCCCGACGAACAGCGCAAGCAAAUAUAUUUGAGAGUAUAGCUGCAUCGUUGCUCGUCAAUUCCGCAUCUGACACUGGGUCGUGAGGCUUACCAACCUCGGGACUUUCGAAAAGCAGCAUCCUGCAGAGAAGUUCCCAGUCUGAAAGAGUCGAGUGAUGAAUACUCCAGAGUGCGUCAACUGUGAUAGCACUGCGUGCACGGCUGCCUUGAAGAUCUUUAAUAAUGCGAACGACUGACAUGAUAGUAUCACGGGAAGUGUCUCGGAUGUUUUCAUUAUGUAUUUUUGUGGCAGGUGAGUGCGUCACAUAGCAUGGCGGGGGUACUGCACCUCUAUUUCUGCUCUCACGAGAAGCAAGGCUGGGGAUUAAAGCAGCAGCAGCGCAACGGACAUGUUCACUUCUAUCCAACAGGAGCGAGACUACUGCACCAGCAUCUUUAUGCGGAAGGACACUGGCUUCUAACAGCAGCCCAACAGUCGAAACAGCUUCAGCUGCAACUCUGGGGUCAAUAUCAUCCAGCAUCUCUAUCACACGAUACAUAAAACGGGCAUUGAAUGUGUCCAUCAAUGCCAAAUUUUCAGAAGAUGCUCUGUACAAAUCACGCAGUGCAACCAGUACUGCAAGCCGCACGUCUGGGUUCUUAUCAUUUAGGGACCAACCUAAAUACUUCAGAUAAAAGUCCGAAAGGAAAAAGAGUGGAUGGUCUCGCAUCCAGUGGCCAAUGGAACGCAUGCAGCUUGUACGGAUGUUUGCAUCCGUAUCUCUGAAUCGAUGCGUGAAUACUCUGUUGAAUGUUUCCUUUAUCAUGCCCUCUGUACUGUUAACUCGAUUCUGUGUGAGGACUAAAGCUUCCUUGAGUGUCCUGAUCAUGAGGUUAUUUGAUCUUUUUCUUUUAUUUAUUUCAGCGUCCAGCUGACGUUGCUUCAUAUCUCGCGUAUCAGCAUGAAGUUUGACAGUUUGAAUCAGUGAAGUCACCAGCUGCAAGCCGGCUUCAGUUGCCGCUACACGAAUUUUCCUUGCCCUCGUGCUAGAAAACAUGGUGAUGAGGUCGACAAGCGAAUCAAAAAGGGGUACCGAGGACACCAAGCAAGGUUUUUCUUCACCGGCACGCUCUGCACGGCCAGAUGGCGAUAUUCGAGAGAGGAAGAGCAAAUCAGUUUGGCAGCUAUCUCGAAUCAGACUGUCCCAGAACUGGAGGUAGUUGUUCCUGAAAGACUUCGUUAGCUCCUUUGCUAUUCUCGGAUCUGAGUUCUCCAACAGAACAUCAGAGUCGUGGUUCCGAACUGCGAACUCCGAGAGGACUCUUGCACCUAUAUCUUCAAGGCUGCAGUCCAUUAAUUCGAUGGACGUAAUCGUUGUUGCACUACCACCAGCCUGCAUAUUUUGGGAUUGACAUCUUUCUCAGAGGUGUACUCUUCGGGCCAGCUCGUGAAUCAAACAAACGAGUUUUGGAGGGACUUGACACACCUUCGCGAUAAGCGUGUAGAGCUCGGCAACAGCAGCAGAUGGGUCAACGCCAUACCUUGCACACCAUGCAGAAGCGACGAGCGCGAUAUUGAUGCUGUUAUCCGUCAAAGACGCAAACAAAGGAAGAGUGCGUGAGGCGACCUCUUCAGUAUUUAAAACAUUUUUCCUUGUGACCAUCUGCUAACGUACUUUUUCGGAACGCCUUUCAAUUAUACUUCAAAAGAAAACCGGCAACUUUUGGGAUUGUUGUCUAUGUCUAGAUGCCGGAAGAGGUGAUGAUGCGCUCGAAUGAUUAGGCUCUGUGUUGACAACCUUACGUUUCACCUUUUUUGAAUUUUCUCGACUGUACUUUCUAACGUUAGCCCUGCCUACUUCCGGAAGUACUUUCGUACUUUCGUACAACGUAUUAUUUCCGUACAGUACGUGUAUGUUGUAGUUUACGUGUGCAGCUGUACGUGUACGUGUACACGUACACGUACAACGUUGUACAACUACAACUACAGUAAUUUUGUUGAUGAAAUACAAGGAGGGUUUUUUUGGAGGCUCCGGUGGUCAACCCAUAAAGCUCCGUCAAAUACUUGUACUGUACGUGUACACGUACACGUACAACGUUAGUGUAUUCUUCGAAGAGUCUUCGAAGAUACCUUCGUACGAAAGUACUUUCGUACGAAAAUACUUUCGUACUCUCGAAAGUACGAAGGUAUCUAUUUUCGUACUUUCGUACAACGUUGUAUGAUACGUGUACGACUGUACGUGUAGUCGUGUACAGUACAACCCGUUACAACCCGUUACGUACACUGCUUCCGUAGGGCCCUAGAUAGGAUAGCUAGCUAGUGGCUAAAAGCGAACGGAUAUGCGCUUAGAAAGGAUGGCGAAAGGAUGAGCGCGCGGUGUGCUAUAACAUCGCGCAGACGCCGUUUUUGGCUCUGUAACUGCACGGCAUGUUAGAUUACAUCACCCUCGAGGCGCGCGGAUCGACCGCGUUCGUGUCUGAAUCGCACGAGCAAAGCAUAGAUUGGCGCGAUCGUGUCGAUUUGUAAAAGAGCAUUUUUCUUCGCAGCUCCAGCCUCGACCCGCGGAGUUCGACUGCCGACGCAAGCGAUCGUGUUUUUUUGCGCUGCGCGAAUUUUAAAUAUGCGCUAAUGUGUUCACGCGAUAUAAUCACGAAGUUUUUUUACGUUCAGAACUGUUAGCAUGAAGUUUCGACGUCGCGUACGCGAGCUCAGGAGACGGCAAAUGUUUCGUAACGCCGAGUCUGUUUUGCAAACGACGGAUCUGUGCGCCGUGACAGCCUGCUUCAGCGCCCCAGGUGUAUAAAACACGCUGGAAUGACCGAUUACGCUGUCUAGUCGAUGUUCGCUUUGACUCUCCGGCCUCAACCGCGGCGCGCGCCUCUCUGACUGUCCUCGCGCGGCGUGGCAGUUAAAAGGAUGAGCUCAUCAGUAGUUCAUCCUUUUAAAAACGUACUACGCUCUGACUAUUUGCUCAUACUACGCAGGCCGAAGGUGUGACAUUAGCGGCAAAAACCCUUUGAUCGGCUCUUGCGAUGAAAAAUACCCUUUCAGCAUUUUUGAUCGGAAAACCAUCCCGAUGGGACGGGGGGGGGGGGCAAACGAGAAUUCUCGUUUGCUAUUUGCCGCUAAUGUCACACCUCCGGCCUGCGUAGUACGUCAUCAUUUUAAUAUCCUUUAUAAAGCUCUCCUUUCGCUGAUAGCCACUAGCUAGCUAGCUAGCUAGACUCUACCUUCAUAUGAUACUUCAAAGACUCUUCAAAGUAGGAACUACGUGUACGGUUGCCUAAAACUUGAAUUUUUGUAUCGCACAUUGUUGUUUGCAUCUGUUAGUGCACAUUCUACGCGCGCGUUUGUUCUAUGUUCUAUUUAUACACCAUCCUCGUUGCCUCUUCAAGUUACGAGAAUCAGUGUCACCCCCCCACUAAUCCAACAACACACCUUCGCCUUCCUCAUCAAGAUCCUGGUUAUUUCUUUUAAAACGAUAACCGAUUAAGUUCGCCCUCCGCCACAACUUGUGUCCUGUAACGGUCGUAGGGUUGAUUCGCUCAUCCUCCCGAUUGGAUAUAGGACUGAUAUAGGUUGCUGUUACUCUCACUCAAACCGUUCUGAAACUGUCUUGUCAGUUUCGUCACUUCGUUACCUCCUGCUUCGUAGCGCACGGGAUUCGUCAUUCCCGCACGCUUACUCGGAUUCAGGCUUCCCCAGACCUGUCCCAGAAUCCACUCGUACAUUUCGGCACAUUCUCGUCAUCUGUGCUUGUGUAUCUUGAACUUGACACGACGGCCCUUGUCACCUCACGAUCGAUCUUCGCAAGGCAGACUCAGUGUCUAGCUAUGAUAGCUACCUUCGAAGGUACGGUUCCUGAUUUAUUAGGGUCCGUACGUAGUAGUACUACGUGUACUCCGUACUACUUUCGUACUGCUGACUCAGACCGUACUCGUAACACUAUUCUAUGAUAUGAUAUAUGUGUACAAUAAUAACGUUACGUUGUACACGUACACGUACACGUACGUGUACUCGUACGUAGGGCUGGAUAUUUUCGUGCACUCGAAAGUAAGUUGGUAGGAGCCGAAUUUUUGGAGCUAUAUUUAGGAAACGCCUAAAUAGGGGUCGUAUCUUGGACGUUGACCUCGAAAGAGAUCGCGUUGGAAAGCCCUCGUCGCGUAGUUCGAUCCCUGAAACCGUAACGCCUCCUCGUCGAGCGUUUCCACUCGUUCGUGAAGGAGGGAGGCGGGCUGCCAGAACUGCCAGAAUUGCUAAAUAUUGGAGAGGUCGUAAAUAUGGGCUUGAUAUAUACAUAAACGCUUCUAAACCGGCCGUUCUUCGGCCGGCGUGAUGCCUAAGGCAUCCACGAGGGCGACACAGUCGACUUUGCUCGUGUCUUGCGGGGGCGGGGGCUUGUUGAUGAUUCCCGAGUCACCGCGCUCGUGUACGUUCCGUACUCGUACGCUUUCCUGACUAAGUCGCGUAUGAAAAAAAAACGCGGGAGAUUAAAAUGCGCGCGGGCGUCGUGUCAACGCGAGCGAAGGGAUGCGUGUAUCGCUGAUCGGGACGCACCAUGCGCGCAUCGUGGUCAUGGCGGACCACGCGGACGUGUGAGCGGGCGUGGGGGGGGGGGGGGGAGGUGCGCCCUUCGUGUGUGUUUCUACGCAAUCUUGAGCUGCUGAUGCACGAAAACCGGGCAUCUUUCGACCGAGGAGCCGAGGACGGACGCGGCAGGGGUCAAAUAUUACAGCGGAUUCGAUCGAUUCAGCUCGAGGCCGAUGAAAUCUCGAAGUCUCGCAUUUUUUCACCCAUUUUUUCAUCGGUUCAUCGACUUUUUUACGUAUUUCUCCAAUAUUUUUCAGCACUCCAAAAAUUCGGCUCCUACCAACUUACACUACGGAAGUUAGUUCGAGUUCGGAAGACGGCUGGGCCACUCCUCUAAUCCCCACGACGUAAUUCCAGUGUCCGGAUCCGGAGCCCCACGAAUGGCCGUCGAAGGCGGCCGCACAGCGGGGCAACGGCUCAGCGACGAGGUGCGUGGCUGCCAUGCCUGUCUGUGUGAGGUUCUGUGAGCUGUGGGCACUCGCCUGAAAAUGGCAACACUUGUCACCUCUCUCCUCUCCGCGCACGAGUCGACCAUGUCGGCUAAUACGCACGGUCUCGGUCGCCGUCUGUGCCUUUUACCUAUCUACUCCGUGGCCGCAUCCUCGUUGUAGUCUACCGUUUGUGACGUUCGCUGACGCCUACCCUCCCCCGAACAGGGCGACGACCUAGCGGCUAACGGCGAGCUUGAAUCAGCGCUCGGUAAGUACAUCGCCGCCGUGAGUUGCGAUGUGGCACAGCACGGAGAGGCGCAUCCGGACGUAGCGGCGCGGUACGCUAGUGUCGGCGCGUUGUACUGCACCGCCGACGACCCGUCGACUGCAAACGAGUAUCUCGCCGAGGCUAUCCGAGUGGAGGAGUCCACGCGUACAGCGUUUUCUCGCAUCUCCCUAGCAAGAUUCCUCAACGGCCUUGCGACGUGCCGCAUAGCGCUGGGAGAUCCAUUUGGCGCGAGGGCAGUGUACACUCGAGCGUUGGAACACCUUAGAAGGGUGUUACCAAACGACGUCGCGGCAGCAGUAGCGAGAGAGGAAGAGGUUGUUAACCGUACCUUUUUUUGCGAUGAACUUGCGGAAGGCGUAGUGCUCGAAGAAUAUGCGACACAUACAAACAUGGUGGCAAUCCUUGGCGAAGGAGGUACGCUGAACACAGUGGCAGAUGUCUUGAACAACCUUGGCCUGCUGAUGAAGUCUAACAACGCCGUAACAGCUGCAACGCGGCUCUGUGCGCGCGCAGUCUCUCUUGGCACUGUAGCUUUGGGGCGUUCGAGCCCUGCCAACGCACUACGUUUGCGUAACCUUGGCGCGGUGCUCGUCGCGCGUGGGAAGGUGCACGAGGCUGUUCAGCGAUUCACUGCUGCGUACAACGAUUGCUUGCUUUGGUACGGUGAAGAGCAUCCAGAGACAAACGCUUGCCUAGAAUGGUUGAAGUGGGCAAAGGGAAAUCAGGUUGGAGGCCAUGAGGAGAGUGAUGAUAAACCUGAAGGAGUUAUGGCACUGCCUGAGGUGGCUGAGUGGUUUUUGUCGCUGCUGUUCUGUGGUGCCUUUGAUUCGCCACCAAUGAUUGAGGCUGCGGCUGUCGCCGGGAUCGACGCUGUUGACUUAGAUAACUGGCACUCGCGCGAAACGAGCGUUACCACUCCAAACGAAUUUGCUGUACCACUCAGCCCCAACCUCUCGCGCGUCAUUCCAAUAUUUCGUGUUGAGGAGGGACCUUUACACCCCCUCGAUCCACGAGAUGGCGAAGACCUACUGGGACCGUACCAGUCGUACAAAACAACCGUGCCAGGAGGCGAGGCGGGAGCGUUAGUGUGGUCAUCAAUUGCAGCAGAAAUCUCAGAAAUCGCCGACAGUGGCUCGGCAUUUCCGAGAGGGAAGAAUUACAUCACAGACUUUCUGCGACAAGCACCAGAUUGUGGUGACUUAGUUAAAGGGUACGCGCAUAUGCCACGGUCACUUCUCUUGCCCUACUCCGCGUUCUCUGGGUACGGCUCUUCUCGAACAAGGGUGAAUGUAGCGACAAAGAGUCCCUACUGACACUGAAGAUGACGGCGCUUGCCAGUGUCAAGUCUCACCUCGACAUUUUCUCUUGGUACUUCAAUAUCUAGUAUGAGUAUCAAAACAAAAUAUAAAAACAUGGCUUCCGACCUUUGAGAUAUACCUUCGUAUGUUGUUAGCUCCAAAAGAGGCAGAAAUGUCAGCUCUUUCUAAUUUUAACAUCUACGCAUUCUGGAGGUGUAAAAUCAGCGGUAAAACGCACGAAAUCUUUGACGCCAAAAACGAGUGGGGAGUUUUUACGACUUUUGUCACACCUCCCGCCUGCGUAGAUCGUCCUCCUCGCUUAUUGGCUAGGGCAACCAUACUGAUUUCAUUAUCACCAGAUCGCGCGAGGGAGCCGGUAAUGCCGUGGACUUUUUAAGUGCGCCAACGCGCCAGAUAUUCUAGUAAUGGUCGAAGAUAACUAGUGUGUUCGUUGAAGCGUACUGUUUCCACAACAAAUCUGGGACAAAGGUGAAAGGUUGCUGUCUUUUGUUCUUGCCUCUGUGCAAAACAUGUAACCUUCACUGAUGGCUAGUUCAUCCGUCGCUUAAAUCUAUUUCAUCCGGGUUGUCGGUAUGUGAAGCUAGUAUUGUCGGAUUAUGACCACAUCUCUCGUCAGCAGACUUCAUUAAUUCCGUGACUGAAUCUGUCACACUAGGUGGAACAGUAUUAUGAACUUCUGAAUUACCUGCUCUGUGAACAUUUCCAACAUCAAGUGUGUUUAUGCCGUCAUGAACUCCCACAACCCCUGUUUCAGAUGUACCUACAGCAGUGGUAACAUCAGAUGUAUUCAUAGUAAAGUGCAUCUGGACGAAAUUCGCACUGACAGAGCGCUUCACUCGUAACAUCUCCCUGAACGUAUCCUCAUCCCCAUAUCGAACCUCGAAACGGUUCCACUCCUCCCAGAAAUCAGUAUCACAUUGAGGACUUGCAAAUUGGCUAGCAUGAGUGUACAAACUUCGUGCUCUUGCGAUUUCACCGAGUUUACACUCCAAUCUAGCAUAUCGAGUACAGAGAGACUUGGUAGUCUGGUCUGAAAGUUUCUUUGCGAUGGCCGUUUCAUAAAUAGAGCGAACCUUCACAACUCCAAACAACUCCAUUGCACGAGAUAUGUAUACAUCAUACAUGCCGAGUUUUUCAUUUACUGGUAACUUGUCGCAUGCGCGGUCAUAUAUUUCCAUAGCACGGCGUCCCAGACCGUGUUUCUCUUCUAGGCGAGCAUAUUCGAGAAAAAAAUAUUUAGAGUCUUUUGGCGGAACAGCGUCACAACAUUGCUCGUAGAGGUCUCGAGCUCGCUCAAGUUUCUUCGCACCAAAAUGUUGAACAAAAUGUUUAAGGUAUUCCACCCAUAUUUCACGUGAGUGAGGAAACUUGAAAAUAUGUACUCCACGCUCAAAAACACGAAAACAUUCGUCAAAACAUUUAUGUUCCAGCAGCAAGUGGGCAAAGUUUAAGACAGUCUGCGGGGUAGCAACUCGUGCUUCAAACAUGCGGGCAUAAGCAGCCUUAGAAGACUCGAUGGAACCAAAAGACUCUUCGAGAUCACAGUAAAACUUCCAGAGCUUCUGUGACUUACAGAUGCCAUCUUGCGCAGACACGGAAUCCGCGUGCGCCAAGUGUGGGUCAACCAACUUCACCGAUCCUGAAGUUGCACGACGCAAAAGAGUGAGGGCCCCAUGGUAAUUUUUCUGCCUCAAUUCUAGCUCUGCCCAUUCGCACCAGAUGGAAGCGAGGUCGUCUAUCUUGACGAACGGGACACAUGCGGCCUUCUCAAGAACAAUGCGGGCAUUGUCGACAUCACCGUGUAACUCAUAAAACUUUGCGAAGUUGAUCCAAAGCACGUGGGGCUUCCCAAGAGCAAGCCGGGGAUCAACUGUCUUGACCGCUUCAGUAAAGGUAAGAAUCUGUUUUGUUGGGUCCCCUUCGAACAGUGAUAUGCGCUUCUGCCACUCCGGCGUAUUGUGCGGAUUUUGUCGCAGCAUAACCGCGGAUAGAAGCUCUGGACGUCGACCGAUCAGAUGCUCGACACGAGCGAGCCGCAAGUCCACUUCUGCUUCGCCGUCAAAUGGAAAAAACUCUGUGCAACUAUUUGUCAAAGAACCUAUCAUUCUGCUGUUUGCAGUGACUGUUUGUUCUCUUCCGAUUGAUUCCAGUUUUGCGCUAAGAACGCUCUCUUCAAAUUGAGUGUAUGCAUCAAAUAUCAAUGAAAAGUCUCGAAUCGUGACUGCAGUUGCAACUCCUUCUUCAUACACAUCACGAGCUUUCUCAAAAAGACCAGUGCGAAUGUAGAAAUCAGCAAGGGAAGUCCAGAGCUGCCCUACUUCACCACAAAAAUUUUGAAUUCCGCCUCUCAAAAUUGCGUCAACAUCAAGCCCCACUGCUUUACAUGGAUGCUUGGUGAUGACAUCACAAAGAUCCAACCAAAGCUGGUGUUUACUUUUGCCAGCAAGGGACUGAAAAUUAUCGUCCUCAACAACUUCAGCCAGUUUUCUUGUCAUCUCAACCCACUGGGCUCGAGUCUGGAGGAACCCGAUGUAUUCUUCUGCGUGCCCGGGCUCAAAUUUAAUGUAUCGGCGAUAGACGCAUUGCGCUGUUUCGAUUGGAAUGCCAUCCUGAUUUAUAAACUCCUUUUGCAGAAAAAAAAUGGUUAGGUUCCUCAGGAAAGUAGAUACCUAGUAAAAGACAGGCGAAUUUCAGUUUUCUCUUACCAAAUAUAUUUUCCACACGCGAUCGUGCUGAGUCACUGGUAAUGACGCGAGCGCUCGAUCGCAGGAUCGCCUCAUUUUUGUGACACAUCCUUGAUUCAAUAGUGUAUAGAGGUAAAGCUCCCAUAUCUUAGGCAUUUUGUGCAUCGUGACUAAAGCGCGCUCGAAAGUAUUGCCAAGGGAAUCGUGCGCUGAACUUCCAACACAGAGAUCACGAACAUUAUUACACCUUUCAGUCAAAUACGCAUACCAAAGCUGUUGAAACAUGGUGUCCUUAGAGGUUUGAAAACUUGCACACCAGUCUGAAAACUACUUUGCUCGAAAACGAAGAAAACGGGGAGUCCCGCACCUUGUAGCUCCCCGGCAGAGCUUGAACAGAGCGCUCGAAUAUGAUAUAGCGUCUGCGAGCACUGCUUCCUUUCUUGGCGUCUAGAUACCGAAACCACAGUCGUGAUUCGCGCGGAGAUCGUAGAAGUUCUUCUUCAUAGUGCAGGUCUUCACCUUGCGGAAUUACUAGAUCGUCGUUUUCUUCCCUACAACGUUGUCCUGGCACGACUUGAACGGACAAGACGCCCAUUACAAUACGGAAGAUAACCUCUGCGUUUCGAAAAUCUCAAUCAGAGAGUAAGCUUGACAAUAGAACGAGUUGGUCGUCGAGCUGCGGUGAUAUGUCGAAUAGAUAUUGUUACGGUGAAUGCUCCAAUUAAAUCUGGCGCCUACACGCACAACAACACGUAUGACGUAGUACGUGACCCACCGCCUACAACGCGUUUAUUUCGGAAGUACAACUACACGUACUGUACAGUACCUUCGUACUGUAUUAUGAUACUUUUAUUGAAGUAUCAUACGAAAGUAAUUUUUUUUGUAUUACUUUCGUACGAAAGUACAGUAUGAUCGAUACAAUAAUGGUACACACUACUGUACACAGCUACACACUACUGAGUCUACACGUGUACGUGUACACGUAGUCUAUCUUCGAAGAUAGAAUACUUUCGAAAGUACUUUCGUACUUUAUUUCGUACGAAAGUACUUUCACCUUCGAAGGUACAACUACGAAAGUACUUUCGUACGAAAGUACGAAAGUACUUUCGUAGAUACGAAAAUAGAUACGUGUACAGCUGUACUGUACACUUGUAUCUAUUUCCGUAUGUAUCUACCGCAUUGAUAGAAUACCUUCGUACUUUCGUACUUCCGUACAAUAAUGGACACGUACGAGUAGCAUUUGUAGUUUUGGGGUUUUAUUCUCGAAAGUACGGAAGUACGUGUACAGCUGUACGUGUACACAUAGAUACCUUCGAAGGUACUUUCGUACUUUCGUACUUCUGUGCACGUACACAUACGUGUACAACUACUACAACAUUAAGUUGUUAUUGUAUUUUUGAUAAAGGAAGUCUCAAGUACAUGUACGUGUACAGCUGUACACGUACUGUACACUAUUUUUUGUACACUAGGUCCAUGAUUACAACUUUAUUUCCGGAAGUACGUGUACAGUACAACUUUAACUUGUACGGAAGUACUUCCGGAAGUACUUUCGAAAGUACGAAAGUACUUUCGAAAGUACCUUCGAAGGUGUCUAUCUGUCUAAUAAACUAAGUUUAGAUCUAUCAUGCUAGCUAGCUAGCUACUAGCUAGAUAACUUCUUUUUACGUGUGUUGUACAUGUACGUCUACUAUGAAUGUAUUCCGGUAGUACGAAAGUACUUCCGUACAAUGUUAAUAACGAUAUCCGGUGUACAUCUGCAGUUCUGCACGUGUACAACUCGUGUACUGUGCAGUACGUGUACAUGUACUUCCGGAAGUACACAACUACACAUAUCUGCUGCAGUCUACUGCCUACGUGCCUAGCUAGUACGGAAGUACGAAAGUACGAAAGUACGAAGGUAGGUAGCUAGGUAGGUAGUAGGUACCUUCGUAGGUAGCUAGUAGGCUAGCUAGUCUAGCUAGGUACCUUCGGUAGCUAGCUAGUCUAGCUAGACUCGUACAGUAUCAUACGUACGCUCUCUUCGACGACCGUACCCCGAAGGUCCUAGCUAGCUAGCUAGCUAGCUAGCUAGCCAUGUGAGUGAUAUGUGUAGAAAACUACCUUCGUAUCUAUCUUUCUACUGUAUCUAUCUAUCUAUCUAUCUACCUUCGUAUCUAUCUAUCUAUCUACCUUCGUAUCUAUCUAUCUAUCCUUCUAUCUAUCUACCUUCGUAUCUAUCUAUCUAUCUAGUCUAUCUAUCUAGCUAGUCUAUCUACUAGUAGCUACCGGCGUAGCUAGCUAGCUACCUAGCUAGCUAUUAACUUAUCUAGCCCUAGCUAGCGACGACCGUACCCCGAAGGUCCUAGCUAGCUAGCUAGCUAGCUAGCUAGCCAUGUGAGUGAUAUGUGUAGAAAACUACCUUCGUAUCUAUCUUUCUACUGUAUCUAUCUAUCUAUCUAUCUACCUUCGUAUCUAUCUAUCUAUCUACCUUCGUAUCUAUCUAUCUAUCCUUCUAUCUAUCUACCUUCGUAUCUAUCUAUCUAUCUAGUCUAUCUAUCUAGCUAGUCUAUCUACUAGUAGCUACCGGCGUAGCUAGCUAGCUACCUAGCUAGCUAUUAACUUAUCUAGCCCUAGCUAGAUAUCUACGGAAGCAACUUAACUUCCGGAAGAUACGAGUAACUGUAAAAUAGGACGUUGCUAUGGUAUCUAAGAACGUCGCAGUAUGGUAUGCCACGCAUUUACAUGUAAAAUACAUAGGGCUACGAAGGUAAGUUACGUGUAUAAAUGAUGUUUAUAACAUGCGGAAGUAUCAUACUUCCGGAAGUGUCUUCGAAGAUAGAAUACCUUGCUACCUUCUACCUUGCCUACUGUAAGUUGUCUUCGAAGGUACGGAAGUAUCUAUUUCUACGAAUCUUCGUACAGGAGCUAGCUAUGAUAGUUAGCUAUGAUAGCUAGUUAGCUACGAGUACAACACGUUACGAAAGUAUUUCCGGAAGUACAGUAUCAUAACCUUCGAAGGUAAUUUCGUACUUCGAAAUAAUACGUGUGCUCGUAGCACUCUCGUAGCCCUAGACUACAGUACAUACUACAUAGGUAGUGUAGUGGCUAAUAUCAGUGCGAAAGGAUAGCCCUCCUGUUUAUUGUAGUCUACACGUAGUGUACACGUACGCGUAGCUACAGUACGUGUACCUGUAGAAAGGAUAUUUUUUAUGGAUACAGUAAGUAAGUUGUUUAUGUACUGUACACGUAGUCUACAAUCUACUGUACGUGUACGUGUACAGUACGUGUAUGUCAAUAAUGCCCUAUUUUUAUUAUCAUAUGAGCUAACAUCAAGAGCAUAUGUACGUUUUUUUAGGAUGCGGGCGUCCUUUAAACUGCCGCGCCGCGGGAGUACAGUCAGAGAGGCGCGCGCCGCGGCUGCGGCCGGAGCGUCAAAGAAAACAUCGACUAGACAGUGUAACCGAUCAGUCCAGCGAGUUUUAUACACAUUGGGCGCUGAAUCAGGCUGUCCCGGCGCACAGAUUCGUCGUUUGCAAAUCAGACUCGGCGUUACGAAACAUUUGCCGUCUUCUGAGCUCGCGUGCGCGACGCCGAAACUUCGUGAAAACAGUUCCAAACGUGAAAACAUUUGCUGAGCAUAUCGCAUGAACACAUUAGCGCAUAUUAAAACAUCGCGCGGCGCAAAAAUAUUUUCGGGGUUCCGGUCGUUUUCACAGUCACAGUCACAGUGACAGGGGACGAUAGGGGACGAUAGUGGCUAUAUCAGCGAGAGGAUAUGAGCUUAGAGAGGAUAUUAAGAGGAUGAGCGCGCGGUGUGCUAUAACAUCGCGCAGACGCCGUUUUUGGCUCUGUAACUGCACGGCAUGUCAGAUGACAUCACCCUCGAGGCGCGCGGAUCGACCGCGUUCGUGUCUGAAUCGCAUGAGCAAAGCAUAGACUGGCGCGAUCGCGUCGAUUUGUAAAAGAGCAUUUUUCUUCGCGGCUACAGCCUCGACCCGCGGAGUUCGACUGCCGACGCAAGCGAUCGUGUUUUUUUGCGCUGCGCGAUAUUUGAAUAAGUGCGUAUGUGUUCACGCGAUAUAAUCACGAAGUUUUUUUACGUUCAGAACUGUUAGCAUGAAGUUUCGACGUCGCGUACGCGAGCUCAGGAGACGGCAAAUGUUUCGUAACGCCGAGUCUGUUUUGCAAACGACGGAUCUGUGCGACGUGACAGCCUGAAUCAGCGCCCCAGGUGUAUAAAACUCGCUGGAAUGAUCGAUUACGCUGUCUAGUCGAUGUUCGCUUUGACGCUCCGGCCUCAACCGCGGCGCGCGCCUCUCUGACUGUCCUCGCGCGGCGCGGCAGUUAAGAGGAUGAGCUCAUCAGUAGUUCAUCCUUUUAAAACGUACUACGCUCUGACCAUUUGCUCAUACGCCAUCCUUUCGUCGUCCUCUCUAUAUAAAAACUCAUAUCCUUUCGCUGAUAUCCAUUUAUCAUAGCUAUUCUAUUCGUAGGGCUACACGAGUGCUACACGCACGUGUACGUGUACAGCUGUACACCCAUACAUAGUACGUGUAGCUUCUAGCUACUAGCUACGAAGGUACGAAGGUAAUAGCUACCUUCGAAGGUACCUUCGUACGAAGGUACACGUAGCCCUACAAAUAAAGUACUGUACCUUCGAAGGUACUUUCGAAAAGUACAAAUGUACUGUACGAAAGUACUUUCGAAAGUACCUUCGAAGAUAGAAUACCUUCAAGGUACGAAAGUACCUUCGAAGGUACUUUCGAAAGUACCAAGGUAGAGAGCUACAGCUAUGAUAUCCGAUAGCUACACGUAGACUAUUCUAUCUGCUCCCUGCUGUAUCCGAUAUCUGCUACUGUACCCUGCUGUAUCCGAUAUCUACAACGUACGAAAGUACUUUCGUACCUUCGUAUGAAGGUAGUACCUUCGAAGGUACUUUCGUACCUUCGUACGUACCUUCGUACGAAGGUAGCUACGUACACGUACAACUUUUUGUGAGUAGUGUAAAACGUUGUAUGUACAGUAAAACGUUGUACGAAGGUACGAAGGUACUGUACACGUACCUUCGUACUGUACGUGUACAACUACAACUACACGCACUGUAUCUUUUCUGUCGAAGUUCACAGUAAACGCACGUUGUACACGUAACUACGAAGGUAGGUCGUAACUUACUUUUCUUGCUGAAUCCAACCCACCGGGAAACAGGUCGAAACAGUCUACUCCUUCGGGGGACCUUUUUUUUGUAGAGGCUCAUGCGCGUCGCUUCGGCGACCUCUAAACGUGUCGGGGUUCCCUCCCUCCAAGCAACUAAACCAAGUUCCUUUAAGCGCACUUUCUUUAACUUGCGUCGGCAGUUGUACAGACCGAUACGGCAAGAGCUUCGUGUUCACGCACUUCAUGCGGAUGUCGGCUUAAGAAGUGAGUUGACUGUGGACCUCGGUGAUCGUUCCUACCCUAUACACGUUGGUUCGGGUCUCCUUGACGACGGCGCUCUUCUUCGCGAGCAUGUUUACGGGGACACUGCAUUAGUUGUCACUAAUGAGACUGUUGCACCUCUUUAUCUUGAUCGCGUAGUCAGCGCGCUUUCAAGUGGUAGUGCAAUUCGCGUUGAGACUGUCAUUCUGCCUGAUGGCGAAGAAUAUAAAACUUUGGAGGUGCUAACGAUGAUUUACGAUAAAGCUUUGCAUGCUAAGCUAGAUCGUCUCACGACAUUUGUUGCCCUUGGCGGUGGUGUCAUCGGUGAUAUGACUGGAUUUGCUGCUGCCUCUUAUCAACGUGGUGUGAACUUCUUGCAAAUACCGACAACAGUCAUGGCAAUGGUCGACUCUUCUGUGGGUGGUAAGACAGGUGUCAACCAUCCUGCAGGCAAGAACAUGAUUGGUGCGUUCCAUCAGCCCUCUAGUGUAAUCAUCGAUACGCAGACUCUCAAAACUCUUCCCGACAGAGAGUACGCAUCAGGUAUUGCAGAGGUGAUUAAAUAUGGACUUAUAAGGGACGCUGAGUUCUUUUGUUGGCAAGAAUCUCACAUGGAUAACCUCAUGAUACGUGACGAGAGGACACUCAUCCAUGCAAUCGAGCAUUCUUGCAGAAAUAAAGCAGAAGUUGUUUCCCUUGACGAAAAGGAAGGCGGGUUACGGGCGACUUUAAACCUGGGGCACACUUUCGCUCACGCCAUUGAGACUUCAAUUGGAUAUGGCGAGUGGCUUCAUGGUGAAGCAGUUUCAGUUGGAAUCGUCAUGGCAGCAGACUUAUCGGUUCGCUUAGGAUGGCUGGAUUGCUCCAUUAAAGAUAGAAUCAGCUCGUUACUAAAUAGUUGUAGUCUCCCAGUGAAGGUUCCGAAGUGCAUGUCAGUAGAGAAAUUUCAGGCUCUCAUGGCCCUGGACAAAAAAAACGCCAAUGGAAAGCUUCGACUAAUUCUCCUAAAAGGUGAACUCGGAGAAUGCAUAUUUACCGGGGAUUUUGACUCGAAAAUGCUUUACAAAACCCUUCAAGUUAUGUGCGACGAAAAAUCUGACUAGGUCUUCAACUCGCGACUGAUGCCUAGUCUGGUCUGGCGGAAUGACAAGUUCUUUGAAAAAGGCAAUGUGUAUGGCCAUAUACGUAUACUUAUUUCACUUUUUUUUUGCCUUCUCUCACUCCUUCUUCAGUGUUGCCAUCUCAUAGGGCUACUACUUUUACACUGUUGUAGUACUUUGAAAGUUCUCCCUGUUUCCUCCUAUGAGUACAACGUUCUAGCUAGGCCCUGCAACGUUGUACUUUAUCUUCGUAGGACUAUUCAGAAGAUUUUCGGUUUCUCGUCUACCUUCGUACUUCCCGAACUACGAUUCUCCAUCAAUGCGCAUAGUCAGAGUACAACUACUCAGAUGCCAUGUGGAAAAACUCCGGCUGCUACCUUCGAAGGUAAUCUGACUAGCUACCUUUAGCUACUCGAAGGUAUUCUAUACUUCUGCAGCUAUUCUAGCACUACAAACUUGUACUUCCGGGAGUACCUUUUUGUAAACGACGUCUCGCUAUCAUAAUUCCUUCGAGAUAUUAUUUAAUAAAUUUAGUCUUGUACAGUACAGUAUUAUUAGCCCUAUUAUCAUACUCGUACUUCCGUGGAAAUAAAUAAAGUUGUUGAAGAACGCACUACCGGAAGUACCGAGUUCGGAAGUACUUUCGUAUUUUCUAUGCAAUAGCCCUUGUAUCCUUAGUUCCGUAUCUUCGUAGAAUAUCUAUCUAGCUAGAAUAUAUGUAGGCCCUACAACGUUGUAGAGAACAACGUCGAUAAGUUACAUAGUACUGUACGUGUAGAAAUAAAAAAAUAUGUAGGUCCUGGGCUACGUGCUAUAGCAGGUCGCCCUUACAGCUCGUUUUACAAAGUGACCCGCGAUCUGCAUAGUACGUGUACAUACGGCUAUAUAAAAUACUGUAAGUUAUUGCAUGAGUAUCAUACUGCAUGACAAUAGCCCUCCGUGUGUACGUGUACACAUAACGAGGGGCCCAUAGUAUUCUAGUAUUCUAGCUAUGCAGAUCGCAGGUCGCCCUUACAAGCACGUUUAAGGGCGCACGCGUGGGCCGAUUUGCCUUUCAAAAUUUUCGCCUAUUGAUCGUGAAUCUCCAGUGAAGUCUCGAUGAAAAAUAAUCACCGAUGAAAGUGCGAUGAAAUUUCCCCACUGGGAGGACGCGGUUCCACCUUUUUUUCACCCGACUAAUUUGAAACUGGCGGGGGUAGACAAUUUUGUCCACAUCCGCCACUUGCCGUAAGGGCGACCCGCGAUCUGCAUACAGAGUAUGUAAAAACAGCUCAUUCAACCUGUGAACUAACAUCAAUCGUAGACUGGCCUACGUCAAAUGUUUGAAUCAAAGUCCUGAAUCCUGCAACCACGUCAUCAAUCAUACUCUUGUCAUUUUCUUGUCCCGAAAAAAUCCUCUCUUUCACUUGAAUGUUCAAGAUGUAAAGGAGGUUAUUAUCAACAGCGACCGUGUUGAAGACGAGCUUUUUACCACGGGUGGUAGUGAGUUGAUAUUCAUAGUCAUAGAACGUGGAACCACUUCUAGGCCCUUGACGCGACCCCUCACGUAUGAGAGUAACGCCUCCUGGCAGCGUGCUCUCCUUGGUAGCCUCGGCUGCGACCAGGCGCUCCCCUACAUCGUGGACAGAGCCAAACUCUGAGAGUGUGGAGAUUUUCACUGGAUUUACAGUGACACCAACCUGAGAGUUGUUAUCAGCGCUGUCACGUAGAAAUAGUUUGGCGCCUGCUUUGUUUAAUAUUUCCCACUCCAUAGGAUAGCAUAAACUGAAAAGAUUUAUGCGAUCAACAAAGACAGUGAAUUUGCCUGGUACAGUAGAACACGCCAAUGCGCGAGGAGUAAACAGCUCGCGAUUCUCACCCAAGCAAACCAUAAAAUAACCGAAGAAGUCGCGCCUGCACAUGGAGUACGCGUUUCCGCUACCUCCACCAUCCAAUGAUUUUGAUUGUGCAACCGUGCUAUUUUGAACGGAAGAAUACAGACGUGAAACUGGGAACUUUUCAUUUUUGAGCCCGCAAGUCGCGGUAAUAGACGCGUUUUGGUGGGUCCUGAAAAGGUUUGAUGCGACGUGAAACCCUCCACGAACUUGCACACAGAGCGAACGAAGCUGCAUGGUAUUCGGCCCUGCUUUUCAAAAAGAAUUCAUACACGAAUGCACCACUCCGAAGGCGCCGCCGAGUUGGACAGCAUAGCCCGCGUCUGCAAUACCUCCAGUUUUUUCUACAACUUUAGUAUCUUCGUACGUACGUGUACUAUGAUACCUUCGAGUGUACGAUACUGUACGGUUAGUUACGGAAGUACGGAAGUACUUUCGUACUUUCGUACGAAGGUACGAAAGUAUCUAUUUUCGUACUGUACCUUCGAAGGUACCUUCGUACGAAAGUACACUAGGGCUACAGUACAGUACAUGUACGUGUACAAUAAGUUAUUUUUACUUUCGAACUUCCGGAAGUACGAAAGUACUUUCGUACAACCGUUUAUGACUACUGUACACGUACGUGUACACGUACGUGUACAGUACAUGUACGUACAACGUAGAGAAAAAAAACGAAUAUGCGUACUGUACAGUAUUUUAGUAGGGCUACGGAAGUACAACUACACGUACACGUACAGUAGCCCUACGCACACGUGCUUCCGGAAGUACACGUACGUGUAUUCUACGAAGGUACUUGUACGAAGGUAGCUAGCUAGCUACCUUCGAAGGUAGCUAUCUAGCUAGGGAAUUGUUGUACGAAAGUACUUCAGUACAAGUUCAUGUACAACGUUGCAGGUGUUGCAGGGAUAUGUGUACAGUACAACUAUACAUGUAUGACUCACGUAUGUACGAAGCUACGAAGGUAGAUAGACUAGUCUAUGUACAACGAACGUAACGUACGGAAGCACAACGUUGUACUUCCGGAAAGUACGUUGUAGGGGGGAUACAAUAGUCUACGGAAAUAAACUUCGAAAGUACACGUACUUCCGGAAGUAUCUAUUACUUCAGUACUUCCGUAUCUUCGAAGGUUGCAACUUUUUACUGUACGUGUAACUUACUGUACGUGUACGUGUACUGUACGUGCACAGGCUGUACACGUGUACCCGAGUGUGUGAUAAUACACUUAUCCACUUUAAGGUAGUCCUCCACGUAAUUCGAAAAAAAAUACCUUAAAAACGUACUCGUGACUAAAGACACGUACAAAAGUGUACGCGCGAACAACCGCGCGCGAAACACUACUCCUUCCUCGAAUGAGAUCUAAACGGAUUUUCUUUUGCACCAUCGCGUUCCGGGCAUCAACGCCGAACUUGCCAAGCUCGGGGAUUUCGCGUUCAUGCUCUCUGCCGCGAGAGGGGUACGCGACCGUCGCGAAGCGCGAUUUCGGGCAAGAUCUGCGCUUUCUUCGCGACGCGCGCGAAAUUCGAAAAAACCCGAGCUUGACAUUGUGCGCAUGCCCUAGAACUGUCAUCACGCAAAGUUUCGCGCGCAGACGUGCAUCGCGCGCGGAGGAGUAGUGUUUCGCGCGCGGGUGCUCGCGCG